ensembl:lncRNA
GCUACAAUGACUAUUUGAACAAAGUGCUAGCAAUCUGUUAAGGAAUAAAAAGCAAUCAAAUAUUAAGGAAUAUAUCAAAUUAAUGAAUAUUUCAAUAUUUUCUUCUCUCUUUACAAGGACAUUUGAGAGUGCUUCUUCAUUUGUGGCCACUAUAUUUUACCCACAUUUCAAUGUGGCUUUCAGUCUGCAAUCAUACUCUCAGAGUCUACAUGCUCUAGUUCAAGUUUCUUACAAUACACUGAGGGACAGGACCUGUUGGGUGGCUGAGGCGCUGGAGGAUGGUGACAUUACAGUAAACUCAUUUGGAGGAGAGAAGGCUAAGAUAAGGCAACAGUUAGUGCAGACACCAGUGUGAGGAUGGGCAGUGAGAAGGAGCCAGGGACUUGCAAGAAGCUGCCUACUAUUCAGGAAAGUUAAGAAGUUGAAAGACUGUGCUCCUGGGUGAAUCGAUAAGUUGCCUUUCACAGGCUGUGUGUUUCCUAAUGCUUUCUGUUCUUCAUGCAAAAGAAAGAUAAAACAGGUAGAGUGGAUGGAAGAGGAAGGGUUAUGAAUCCAAGAAAGACAACAAGGUUAGGAAGAUCUGGAGACCUGGAGGAAGAAAUGACAUCCUGCUCCAGUAUUCCUGCCUGGGAAAUUCCAAGGACAGAGGAGCCUGGCGGGCUACUUUCCAUGGGACUGCAAAGAGUGGAACAUGACUGAGCACAGCACAGCACCUACAGCCAAAACACAGGACCAUAAACCUACCACUCGACAGCACGACAAAAGUCAAGGGUUAUCACCAAUGGUCAGCAACAUCCUAUAAUAAUUCCAUGUGAGCCAAGGAAGGCUUUUGUACAUUUCAAAAAAAAAAAAAGCAAAUGUGUCCCCAAACUGUAAAACCUGAAGCAUUUUCUUCUGGAAACUUAAUCUGGACAUAUUUUAUUUCCUUUCAUAUAUCAUUAGCAUAAGCUUAAAAUUAGAGGAAAAUACUUGUGGAUGCUAUAUUUUUUACCAUAAACUUAAGAAUGUAAGGUUAAAAAAAAGUGAUAACCUGUGUGCUUUCUAAAUGUAUCCUUUGCACAUAAAUCAAACCGUAAGCAAAUAAUCAUUAAAGUAGGAAAAUGCCAUGAAUUCUGU